CGGUGGGUGCGUCCCGUAACGACAGGGGGAUCCCGGCAAGCAACAUGACUAAAAAGAAGCGGGAGAAUCUGGGCGUCGCUCUAGAGAUCGAUGGGCUAGAGGAGAAGCUGUCCCAGUGUCGGAGAGACCUGGAGGCCGUGAACUCCAGGCUCCAUGGGGUGGAGCUGAGCCCAGAGGCCAGGAAGUCCCUGGAGAAGGAGAAAAGCAGCCUAAUGAGCAAAGCCUCCAACUAUGAGAAGGAACUCAAAUUGCUUCGGCAAGAGAACCGGAAGAACAUGCUGCUGUCUGUAGCCAUCUUCGCCCUCCUGGCCGUUAUCUAUGCCUACUGGACCAUAUUUUGCAAGACACACUGAUAUACCCAGAACUGGGUGGAAAUACAGCAUCUCAGCAGGACUGCUGCCAGCCUGGGGGUGGGGACUGGACACCGGCUGAAGGACCCCUACAGUGGAGUCGAUUCCAACCUCACAAGAGCCUCAGUGCCCUAUCUCCAUGGAAACUAGUCUGGCACUGGGAUGGGACCCUGGGGAGCCCACGUGGAUCUCUGAGAGAAGAACUUCCUCUUGAAGCUUUUGCUGAAUCCCAUAGUCCACGG